GCCGGAGUGGCGGAACUGGUAGACGCGCUGGACUCAAAAUCCUGUGUCCUCUUGGGACGUGUGGGUUCGAGCCCCACCUCCGGCACCA
rnacentral:tRNA from 1 species